rnacentral:lncRNA from 1 species
ACAGGUCGGUGCCGAGCCGCGUGAAGCCGGAGUUGAGCGAGGCCCGGGCUAUCCGGCGCCAGAGCAGAUCGCAGCUGGUGAAGCGCCGCAGCCAGCGGCACACCUGGGCCAGGCGGCCGAGGGCCCGCAUGUCCAGCAGAACAAGCACUGGUCAGAGAAAUUUCCAAACACAUGGAGCUUAGCGAGACCACCUGCUCCUAACACAGGACAAUGGCCACUGGACCACCAACUCUGUUGCUUCAAGUCAACACCAGCUCUCCUUCACAACAGAUGACAGGCUUUCCGCUAGAAGAGUUUCCCAGUAAAAGAGUGAGCAAAGAAAUGCUAAACUUCACAUCUGCAAUAGAAGCUGAUAAAUGAGAAGUGAAAUGGACAAAUUAAAAAGCUGAAACUGAAUUCAGUCUUAUAGUAGAAUCAAACAAUAAUUACAUCGAUAUCAGCCCUGGCAAGACAGAGCUAAGAGCUCAAAUUAUCUCUUGGCAAGGGUGUGGGUCUGUAAAUGCUAUGCAGCAACUAAUGAGU